AUUCCAGCUCCAAUAGCGUAUAUUAAAGUUGUUGCAGUUAAAAAGCUCGUAGUUGGAUUUCUGGCAGGAGCGACCGGUCGGCCCAUUGUGGUGUGUACUAGUGUUGCAUCUGGCCAUAUUUGUGGAGAGCGUGUGUGGCAUUAAUUUGUCGUGCUCGGGACCCGCAUCGUUUACUGUGAGAAAAUUAGAGUGUUCAAAGCAGGCUUAUGCCUUGGAUAUGUUAGCAUGGAAUAAUAAGAUAAGACUUUGGCGGUCUAUUUUGUUGGUUUGCACGCCAUUGUAAUGAUUGAUAGGGACAGUUGGGGGUAUUCAUAUUUAAUUGUCAGAGGUGAAAUUCUUGGAUUUAUGAAAGAUGAACUACUGCGAAAGCAUUUACCAGGGAUGUUUUCAUCA
rnacentral:rRNA from 1 species